CCUGAUCCAGCCAUGCCGCGUGAAGGAUAAGGUCCUUAGGGUCGUAAACUUCUUUUGACGCAGAGCAAUAAGGGACACGCGUGUUCCGAUGAGAGUAUGCGUCGAAUAAGCAUCGGCUAACUCCGUGCCAGCAGCCGCGGUAAUACGGAGGAUGCGAGCGUUAUCCGGAUUUAUUGGGUUUGAAGGGUGCGUAGGCUGUUGGAUAAGUCAGCGGUGAAAUCACCACGCUUAACGUGUUGUGUGCCGUUGAAACUGUCCAGCUUGAAUGCGCUCGUCGUGAGAGGAAUGUGUGGUGUAGCGGUGAAAUGCAUAGAUAUCACACAGAACACCGAUUGCGAAGGCAUCUCACGAGGGCGCUAUUGACGCUGAUGCACGAAAGCGCGGGUAUCGAACAGGAUUAGAUACCCUGGUAGUCCGCGCUGUAAACGAUGAUGACUAACCGUUGGUCUGGUAUGGAUCAGUGGUCAAGCGAAAGCGUUAAGUCAUCCACCUGGGGAGUACGGGCGCAAGGCUGAAACUCAAAGGAAUUGACGGGGGCCCGCACAAGCGAGACUGUGGUUUAAUUCGAUGAUACGCGA
rnacentral:rRNA from 1 species